rnacentral:lncRNA from 12 species
UUGUGGGGAAGCACCUUGGAUAGGGAAUCAUUCAGAAAUGGGAUUUAUGCAGCCAGAGGAGAAACAGAACCUGUGCAGUCAGCCCUGGCUGAGGUGUGACACACACAGUGACACCAAACACACCCCUGGGGUGCCAGUCCAUCCCUGCACUCCUGAGAGAGCCCCCAGGGUGCCCUCUGCCCUCCCACAGCCCUGGAGAGCCCAGACCCCUCAGCCUGCCAGUCCUGGGCCAGCCCCACAGCUCCUGACACCCCUCAGGGUCCCCAGAAUACCCUUCAAACAUUCCCAAUUCUCCUGUGUCAUCACCGAGCUGGAUGGCCUUCCCUCCCUUUUCACCCUUUACAAGGGAGAGGGAUGCCACUUUGACUUCCUUUGAGCUGCUUAUUGGCUUCUCUGGCUCCCAGCUCUUAUUACUAGCCCUCAAAUCCCUCUCCUCUCUCUGGUGGCAUCACAGAUAUAUUUCCUGGCAUUUGUGACUGUUCCCACACUGUCUUGAGAUGAGCUAAACUGUUUCCAAGUGCACAGCAGCAUGACUGAAACCCCUGCUAGACUUUCAUAAUGAAUAUGAAGUUGCCAG